CUGGCUUAACCACUACAAAUACAAAGCUUUUUCUAUUUCUCUCCGCAAACUAUUCAUUUCAUUUCUCUCCAAGAUUUUAAUUUUGUUUUUGAUUCAUCGAUCAUUUCAUUUCCUUCAAAAUUCUCUUCCGAUUAUUCAAGAACAGAAGCGUUUGAUUGAAUCUGGGUCCAUUGCUUUGAUCGUUGAAGACAAACGCACAAAUCUCUCAGAUAAACCCUAUUCUUAGCGAUCUAGAAGAAUCAGUGUGAUGAUGAUCUUCGUAUCAUCUCUGUUUGAAUCUGGGUCCGUUG